GGGCUCGUUAGACUCCGUUUGUCGUCGUGGACCUUGUUGUGGGCUCAAUGUAGAUCAAAUCUGGAGACGUUAAAUUCUAAUAUGCUCUUCACAUCCUUCGGUCAUCACCGCCCCUUCGUCACUCCUCAACGCAGCCUCUUCUUCCCUCUGAUGUAUAUCACUGCCCGCACUGCCCCCGUCCGCGUCCACCUUGAACACCCUCCCCGGGCUUCCCUACAGCGCCAGCAGAAACCCCGGCUCCCGGGGGCCCUUCAUUGUAAAAAUUUUGGGCUUCGGGCCAUACGAGAUCCAAACUUCAGUUAAAAUUCCAGGCCACGCCGUCUUGACCGGCCCGAGUAGACCCGAUCUUCUCCCCCAAUGCAAAACGAGAUAGAAGGGAAGAGAUGGCAUGAGGAAGGAGAGAAGAGAGGAGAGAUGCAUUGAUAUGUGCGCGCGCGCGCGUGAGAGAGAGAAAGAGAGAGAGAGACGGGGAUCGAGGGGAGAGAGGUUGGGAAGGAGAGGAGAUUGAGAGAGAGAGAGAGAGAGAGAGAGAGAGAGAGAGAGNNNNNNNNNNNNNNNNNNNNAGAGAGAGAGAGAGAGAGAGAGAGAGAGAGAGAGAGAGAGAGAGAGCGCCAGCCGAGAGAAAGAUCGGGAGGUAGAGAGAGAUGGAGAGGGAGAAGAGAACAGGGAAGAGAGAGAGGGAUAGAGCAGAGAGGGGAGAGAGAACGUUGUCUGGCUGCGAGAGAGAGGAACGGGCGCAACAAGGUGGGCUUAGUUUCGAGCUAAUAUCGGGCCGAGGCGAGUCCUGAGCCCAACAUGGAAUUUUGCGGCCUUGAUGUCAACUCCCAGCCGGACCUGAUCUUAUCGGGCUCAGCCCAAAGGAUUAGACGAAACCAUCCUGGCCAGAAAGCUCUCGAGCCAGCUUGAGCCCAUUUCUGAUCCUACCCAC
rnacentral:lncRNA from 1 species